GUAACCUACCUCGGGGACGGGAAUAGCCAUUCUAACGGAUGGGUAAUGCCCGGCGAUAUAGCGAGACCGCCUGGCCUUGCUAUGAAAUGAAUUUCGCCUCGAGAGGGGCCCACGUGGUAUUAGCUUGUUGGUGAGGUAACGGCUCACCAAGGCCAAGAUGCCUAGCAGGUGUGAGAGCACGACCUGCGCCACUGGCACUGAGACACUGGCCAGACUCCUGCGGGAGGCUGCAGUCGAGGAUCUUCGGCAAUGGGCGCAAGCCUGACCGAGCGACGCCGCGUGCGCGAAGAAGGCCUUCGGGUUGUAAAGCGCUGUCGAGGGGGAGGAAAGCCCGAAAGGGUCUGACCUAUCCCUGGAGGAAGCACGGGCUAAGUUCGUGCCAGCAGCCGCGGUAAGACGAACCGUGCAAACGUUGUUCGGAAUCACUGGGCUUAAAGGGCGCGUAGGCGG
rnacentral:rRNA from 1 species